AUGGACGAUAUCCUAGUUCACACGGAGGAGUUAGAGGCGCACAAGAGGUUGCUGCGUCAGGUCCUUGAGCUACUACAUCAGCACGGACUCAAAGCCAAGAUGUCCAAAUGCACCUUUGCGCAGAGAAAAAUCAGUUACUUGGGGCAUAUUAUCAGCGAACAAGGGGUUGCCACAGACGACACCAAAAUCCGGACUGUGCAACAGUGGCCUGUUCCAACCAAUACCAAAGAACUCGGGGGUUUCUUGGGGCUAGCCGGGUACUACAAAAAUUUUGUGCGCUCAUUUGGCGUGAUCAGCAAGCCGCUUACCAAUCAGCUCAGGAAGAAUACUCUGUUUGUGUGGACACCAGAAGCCAACAAAGCUUUCGUCGCUCUCAAGCAAGCGAUGAUCGAGGCUCCGGUACUGACGCUUCCCAACUUUCAGUAG
rnacentral:rRNA from 1 species